GCAUGCUUUCCGAGACCGUCUCGCAAGGCCUACCCCGAAAUGGACGAACAUGAUCGUUCGAAUGCGCCACUGUUCGCGUGACCGUAUGCGCGAACAACCAAGCAUUGGUGUCCAGCAUGGGGCGAACAUAUUCACUUGUUAUCUGGUCGCGUGAGCAAGCCACUGGCAUGUGCCUGACACCUGGGCAGGCAGAUAUCCUCCAGCUGUGGAGUUGCAUUGGCGUUUCUUGAACAUGCGAUGACUGCAUGGACAAGCGUUUUAUGGGAACAGAUGACAGCUUUCGGUGCCUCAACGGCUUGUGGCCAUCUAGCUGACAAUUGCCAUGGGUGGUCGUGCACCGCGCAGCUUAAAAGCACUCAGAUGGUUCGAGAGGACCUGAGCGAGACUGAUGUUCUGGGAUCUGCUACUGUUCACUUCCCUGCUAUGCAGUGAAAAAUAAAUUGAAAGUUGAAAUAAACAGAC